GCAAUCUCCACUUUAACCUCAUAGUUCUUGCACUCGAUGCGCAAUACUCACACUCACCUCCAACAAAUCAACAAGUGUUCGUUCUAAAGCCAGAUGAUUUUUGUCAACACCCACGAGUUGCCAAAACACUCCUAGCAGUAUUGGGUUUCCAACAUUCUCUUGUUGAGAGAGAUUUCAAAAAAUCGUGAUGUUGAAACCCAACCCUAAUGGACAUUGUUGUGCAUAACCAUGGUAUAUCUUUUUAUCUCCCUUGAAAUUAGCUUUUCCAUUAUUUGCAUGAUGGCCUUUGAUUCUCUUAUACCAUUUUAAGGAUUCAAUUUCUUUUAUUUUAGGGCUUUAAUUUCUUCCUUACACCAUUCUUACAGAUUUCAAUUUCUCAAUUGGAAUUACCUGUUGCAGAGUGUACUCACCAUUCCACUGUGAAAGUGCAUU
rnacentral:lncRNA from 1 species